GCUCCUCCUUUUCGCUCGCAGCCCUGGCGUCGCCGUGUCUCCCGCAUCCCGGCCCCCUCCCGCCGAGAGGCACCGUCCCGGGGGAUGCCGCCCGCACCGCCGGCCCCAGAGGCAACUACCACCAUAGGUGCAUUGCCCAUAUUGAUCUGAUCUCUUCCUUGAGAAUGAAGAAUUCAUCCAUACUGGAUACGGUCUCACCUGGAAGGACUGUAUGGGAUUAAACUCGGGAUCCUUAUACGGAUUCAGAAUAACCCAGAUGAAACAUUAGAACAUGGCAAAAAACAGAUGGGAAUUCCAGAGUUAAUGUCACCUCAUUCUUAAAGAAUAUUGCAUAGAACAUGCCAGCAGCAAAGGCUUGGAUUCAAUCUAGAUUUUGAAGCUCACUCUACUAAGACAAUAAACUAUUGAUAGUUCAAAGGAGGGCAGUGAUUUCAAUAGCAGAACAUGAAGGCACAAGGAAAGCAGAGCCUGGCUGGUGGAGUCCUGGACCUGAGAGGGACUUAAGGCCAAGCAGGUAAGAAGGAUCACCUGUGGCUAAGCCAUUGCUGGAAGAUGUUUGUCCGAUCUGCUGCUGGUUCUUGAAUACUGAACAAACACAUGGAAAGAGGCUGUGAGCUUCAGGAAGUUGUUUGUAUAAUUUGCUGCUUGUAUGGCAGUGCUGGGAAAUGUGGCAGAGUGCAUGUAGACAAAGAUAACCACUCGCAGCCUGUUACAGUGCUGCUGACUGAGUACUGUUCAGUGAUGGCAGAACGUGUCCUUGGAAAAGGUAUGAGGAGGAUCUGAUGCAAUACCUGGCAGCUACAAGGAGUCCCAGGAGGAGCACUCCCAAUUAGUGGCUUUCCUCAUGGGCAGUUUGAAGCAUUCCCUGUGGGCCUGCUGUAUGAGUGCUUACACUGCAGCUGGCAACACACCGUACUACUGCAAACCCUGUGCUGCUGCAGCUUGGCUGCUCCCAUUUGCCUGAAGUACGUCAAAUUAUUUCUAAUGACUGCCAUCAUGCAUUUACAGACCUUCUGUGCUGACCAGGCUGCUGAUUUGAAAUGGGCUGGCUGCUUCUUUCUUCUAAAAGGGGUGUCCCAUGUUUGCCAGCUAUGGAGUGCUCCUACCAGUGGAUUACAUCCAGCAAGAGUUCACCUCCUUCUGCAGACAGGAAGAUGUGGAACAUAUUGCUUUAGCAAAAUAAGCUUUACCCAUGGCACUAAUGCAUGUGCAUAUACUAAGGCUGCGUGUGUAUGUAUGCAUCUACUACAAGAAUCUGGCAGAUAGCCAACUUACAAACUGAUUGACUGUUACCUGCAAGAGUGUGCUGGUACCUGGAAGACCUCUCCAAACAUGAGGGAACUGGAAAAAAUGUUUUUUGAUGUUCUUUAGGUAGGGAAAUACCUAUUUAAGCAGUUAGGGCAGUCGAACAGAGCUAUGAAAUGGAUGGAUCUAUGAAAAUCUUAAAAAUUAUCGGGGAAAAUGGAGGCUAGUUAGCUCUUUCUCUACUGAUAGGUCUUUCAAAUGAAAUCAUAUUUAACCCACUCCUCUCAGCUAUGAUCUCACAACUAUUAUUUAAGCACAGUCAUAUAAAAAUACCAUCUCUUUUUCCAGCAAGAAACAAAAGGUUUGUCUGUAGCUUCUCCCCUGAGUCUUGGUGACCCCCUGGGCUAGUGUGGUCAAGACUCCCUUAUGUGCUGUUGGCUAACGCAACAGGCACGACAUAGCAGCCUCCAAUUCCUAACCUCUGAAUCCCUAUCCCGAAGAGGUAGAUAACUUAUGGUUCAGUUGGCAGGGUGCAGUCUUCAGCAGCGCUUGAACACUACUUUAAUUCAUGCCCCAUGAGCUAUAACAGACGUGCCACUGCAUCCCUAAGAAACAUACACGGAUCAUAAAUAAGGUUGGAUGCUAUUUUAAGUAAUAAACAUUGAGAUACAG
rnacentral:lncRNA from 1 species